CAUCACUACGCUAGAUGCAUAUCAAUAAGCGGAGGAAAAGAAACUAACAAGGAUUCCCUAGUAACGGCGAGUGAAGCGGGAAGAGCUCAAAUUUGAAAUCUUAAAGGGUUUCCCUUUACGAAUUGUAGUUUAAAGAAGUGUUUUCUGUUGGAGUUUCGGUAAAAGUUCUUUGGAAUAGGACAUCAUAGAGGGUGAGAAUCCCGUAUUUGACCGUUACUUUCCAGCUGUGUGAUACACUUUCAAAGAGUCGGAUUGUUUGGGAAUGCAGUCCAAAAUGGGUGGUAAAUUUCAUCUAAAGCUAAAUAUUGGCGAGAGACCGAUAGCGAACAAGUACCGUGAGGGAAAGAUGAAAAGAACUUUGAAAAGAGAGUUAAACAGUACGUGAAAUUGUCAAAAGGGAAGCGUUUGACACCAGUGUUGUUUAGUUGAAAAUCAAUUCAAUAAUUUUUGAUUUUGAAGUAGUAUUGACUUCAUCAGCUUGCUGCUUUCUUUUCAGGAAUUAUUGAAUGCACUUUUCAGUUAACAAGUCAACAUCAAUUUCUUUUGUUGUAAAAGGGUAAGAGGAAGGUGGCUUACGCUUCGGCGUAAGUGUUUAUAGCCUUUUACCUCUGCAAUCGGAGAGAUUGAGGACAGCAGCGUAGACUCUUCGGGGUUAGAUACACUUGUGCUAAGCUAUAGCCUUGUAUAGACAACUUGUUGACUAUGCUCAGUCAUGUAGCUUACUCGCUUGUGCUAUUUUACCUACGCUUAGGAUGUUGAAGAUAUGCGCGACAC
rnacentral:rRNA from 1 species